CUAAAGCUGACAUGCAGGUUUUGCCU
rnacentral:piRNA from 1 species